UACGGAGGUGGCGGGCGUUGCUCGGAUUUACUGGGUGUAAAGGGCACGUAGGCGGUCUUGUAAGCCCUGUCUGAAAGGCUCCGGCUCAACCAGAGCAUUGGGUGGGGGACUGCAAGACUUGAGGACUGGAGAGGCGAACGGAAUUCCCGGUGUAAGGGUGAAAUCUGUAGAGAUCGGGAGGAACACCAGUGGCGAAGGCGGUUCGCUGGCCAGUUUCUAACGCUGAGGUGCGAAAGCUAGGGGAGCAAACAGG
rnacentral:rRNA from 1 species